UGGGGAAUAUUGGACAAUGGGCGCAAGCCUGAUCCAGCCAUGCCGCGUGUGUGAAGAAGGCCUUUUGGUUGUAAAGCACUUUAAGCGAGGAGGAGGCUACUUGGAUUAAUACUCUAAGAUAGUGGACGUUACUCGCAGAAUAAGCACCGGCUAACUCUGUGCCAGCAGCCGCGGUAAUACAGAGGGUGCGAGCGUUAAUCGGAUUUACUGGGCGUAAAGCGUGCGUAGGCGGCUUCUUAAGUCGGAUGUGAAAUCCCUGAGCUUAACUUAGGAAUUGCAUUCGAUACUGGGAAGCUUGAGUAUGGGAGAGGAUGGUAGAAUUCCAGGUGUAGCGGUGAAAUGCGUAGAGAUCUGGAGGAAUACCGAUGGCGAAGGCAGCCAUCUGGCCUAAUACUGACGCUGAGGUACGAAAGCAUGGGGAGCAAACAGG
rnacentral:rRNA from 1 species